rnacentral:lncRNA from 1 species
UCCAUUAGCUCUUCUCAAGAUAACUGGCCAGAUUUGUUUGUCUGCUGCUUCUUUAUAUGUCUCCCCAGUGCCCUGAGCACACCCUCUGUUUAAUGAACUUAUUUGUACAAGCCAUCCCCCUUCCUGCCUCCAUUUGACUGUUGUUUUACAUCCCAGUUAAUGCCAUUCUAGUUUCCUCAGAGACUCUGGGGCCAGUUUUCCCCUGGGAAAAGGAAAGCUGAUGGCCCUGACUCCAUUGGUGGGGGGAGGGUAGGGGUGGCAAAAAAAGUAUGCAGGUAUCAAGGAUGCUAAUUGCUGAUUUUCUCCACAGGGCUGGUUACAGUAAAUCCUUUCUAUAAGAAAACCCUGAAGAGGUGCUUUUAGGGGGAGAGAAAUCAGGGAAGUUAUGUAUGUGCAGGUGCCAGGGAGUGGCUUCUGUUCUAGAAGGGCUUCAGCGUUUCCUCCCACAGGCCUCCUUGAGUAUGCAAGCUGCAUAUGUAUUUAUAACUCUGCAGGAAAAAAAAAAGUGAACUUUAUUAGCAGAGAUAACUGUCAUAAUUCAAGCAACGACACUCUGUAGAGCGACGAGACUAUAUGCAGCAGGGUAAUAUAUGUUGUGCACAAAUGUAAGGGGUAAUGUGUCACUAACUGGGCCCAGACAAGGAAAGAGGAAAAACAAGAGUUGACUGCCCCUUUGGGGGACCCUGGGGGUCUGCAGAACAUGUCCAAAUGCUUCUUCCAGGGAGUCGGUCUAUUCUUGAGGUCAGUGGCUUCAUCAUGCAUUUUUGCAUUCACGCAUCCUAGUAGCAGCCCUCAAUAAAUGUUUGUUGAGUGAAUGAAACAUUGACCUGGGAAUGUGCAACAGCUCCUAAAUUGUUCUUGUAUGUGCACUCCUCCCCUUCCUAUUCAGACAUUUAUUUGAAGUCAGAGGAGUCACAGCUGUGCAAUUGAAGAGCCCACUGGCAAUCACCAACAGCCAAGUGAGGCUCCAAGCCAGUGGGUCUCAACCUCGGCUGCAGAUUGGAGUCACUUGGGGGUUGUUUGGAAAUCCCAAUGCUCAGGCCUUAAAUUCAGACCAGCCAAAAAUCAGACUCCAGGGCUGAGGCCUGGGCAUUGGAACCCUGUGGCUGGAGGAACUGCAGCUCCAAGUGGGCUCUAAGUCUGGCUCAGAAACUGGGGGACCCAGAAGAUAUCCCUCAGUACAAAAUCUUUAGAGGUUUAAAUAAGCUUCCAAUGCCUUAUCCUUUGUACUUUCAGUCAAAUAUCCUUGAGCGUUUCUUUAAUGUGAAGUUUUUGCAGUGCCAUGUUCACUGGGGCCCGAGUGCAGGUAGACAGGAAGUACUUCUCUUAGAAAAAUUUUAUUGAAGUAUAGUUUGACUUACAGGGGUUGUGUUAAUUUCUGCUGUACAGAGAAGUGAUUCAGUUAUACAUAUAUGUACAUUCUUUCCCAUUUUGCUUUAUUACAGGAUACUUACUAUAGUUCCCUGCUAAUCCCAGACUCCCAAAUCUAUCCCUCCCCACCUCCUCUCCUCCUUGGUAACCACAAGUCUGUUCUCUGUGAGUCUGUUUCUGUUUUGCAGGUAAGUUCAUUUGUGUCAUAUUUUAGAUUUCACAGAUAAGCGAUAUCCAGGAUAUUUGUCUUUCUGACUUCACUUAGUAUGAUAAUCUCCAAGUCUAUCCACAUGGCUAUAAAUGGCAUUAUUUCAUUCUUUUUUAAUGACUGAGUAAUAUUCCAUUGUACACAUGUACCUCAACUUUAUCCAUUCAUCUGUCGAUGGACAUUUAGGUUGUUUCCAUGUCUUGGCUAUUGUGAUAGUGCUCCUAUGAACAUAGAGGUGCCUGUGUCUUUUUCAAUGAUAGCUUUGUCUGGAUAUAUGCCCAGAAUAUUUUGGACUGUUGGAUCAUAUGGUAACUUUAUUUUUAGUUUUUUAAGGAACCUCCAUACUGUUUUCCAUAGUGGCUGCACCAACUUACAUUCCUAACAAUGUAGGAGGGUUCCCCAAAAGAAAUACUUCUGGUGGGACUUAGGAAUUUGUACUCAUCUGGAAUUUGAGGAGGGGCGGGCAUGUCACAUGUCACUUCAAAGAACAAAAGGAUGCGAAGCUGUUGAGUCUCCAUCCUACC